rnacentral:rRNA from 1 species
UACGGGGGGGGGCAAGCGUUGUUCGGAAUUACUGGGCGUAAAGGGCUCGUAGGUCGCCAACUAAGUCAGACGUGAAAUCCCUCGGCUUAACCGGGGAACUGCGUCUGAUACUGGAUGGCUUGAGUUUGGGAGAGGGACGCGGAAUUCCAGGUGUAGCGGUGAAAUGCGUAGAUAUCUGGAGGAACACCGGUGGCGAAGGCGGCGUCCUGGACCAACACUGACACUGAGGAGCGAAAGCCAGGGAGCAAAGCGGG